GUGCCCAUAGCUCAAUUGGAUAGAGUGCUUGACUACGGAUCAAGAGGUUGAGGGUUCGACUCCUUCUGGGCACGCCA
rnacentral:tRNA from 4 species